UACAGAGGGUCUCGAGUCGUUGUUCGGAUUCGAUUGGGCGUAAAGGGGUGCGUAGGUGGCACUGUAAGUCGGGUGUGAAAAUCCCUGAGGCUUAACCUCGGAACUGCAUUCGAUACUGCGGUGCUUGAGGACUGGAGAGGAGACUGGAAUUCAUGGUGUAGCAGUGAAAUGCGUAGAGAUCAUGAGGAAGACCAGUGGCGAAGGCGGGUCUCUGGACAGUUCCUGACAGCUGAGGCAACGGAAGGCCAGGGGAGCAAACGGG
rnacentral:rRNA from 1 species